CAAAUCAGGUAGGACUACCCGCUGAA
rnacentral:rRNA from 1 species